GACGUAGGGCGCGAGCGUUGUCCGGAUUUAUUGGGCGUAAAGAGCUCGUAGGCGGUUUGUCGCGUCUGCUGUGAAAACCUAAGGCUCAACCUUGGGCUUGCAGUGGGUACGGGCAGACUAGAGUGCGGUAGGGGUGACUGGAAUUCCUGGUGUAGCGGUGGAAUGCGCAGAUAUCAGGAGGAACACCGGUGGCGAAGGCGGGUCUCUGGGCAGUAACUGACGCUGAGGAGCGAAAGCGUGGGGAGCGAACAGG
rnacentral:rRNA from 1 species